rnacentral:rRNA from 1 species
AUGGAGGGAGGAGUGAUCUCGUUGCCGGUGCCGGUUUCUUGCCUCGCCAACAGGGAGUUCCAGGCCACCCCCACCCCCAGCCCGCCCGACGAGUCGACGGUCCUCCGCGAGCUGAACGUCUCCGUCUCCCUCGCCGGUCUGGACAUCUCCCGCGCCCACCACGGCGAGCCGGACGUCCUGGGCCAGAGACGCAGCAAGUGCAAGCCCAUGGUCCGGACAGUCUCCAAGAUGCACAUGGCGGCCAAGGCGGAGAAGAAGGCGGCGCUCGACAAGGCCAAGUCGGAGAAGAAGUCGGCGGCGGCAAAGAAGGCGUCGGCGGCUGGUGGUGCGGCAUCCCACCCGUGGUUGAGGUUCGACCUGUAUGUGGAGGGGUAUCCUAUCAAGAAGCAGAAGACGGUGAAGCUGGACCAUCGGAACAGCUACAUCAAGUGGCUGCUCGAGUGGGACAAGAAGCCUCGCCGUCCCCUGCCCAACUUCCCGGAGAGGCUCCGCAAGGUCACGGACGCCAUCAAGGCCGACCGCGACGAGAACGAGAGGGUCCUCGCCGACUUCAAGCGCCUCGGCUACGCCUACGUCCAGGUCGACGUCUUCAACGACGACGACCCAAGGGCCAACCUCCCCGACCACUACUACGACAUCAUCCACCACGACAGCGACGAAGAAGCUUGA